CACACAUUACACAUUUAUAUUUAAAAAACAAAUUAAGCAUCAUCCCUUUCUUCUUAACCUAAUCUCACUCCUCACGGAACUAAAUCGAUGUUUGCGAUCGGUAUAUCACUAAAAGGUCACGCAGGUGGUCGUGGCACGAGUCACGGUGGGAGUACCGGUAGUGGUCGCGUUAGGAGUCAAGCUGGUGGCGUUAAUAGCUCUUCCGGAAGAAGUUACUCUGCCUCGAACCCAAGCUUUUCUAAUUCAAGAGAUUUUGUGUCUCUCCCUGUACAAUACGCACAUACUCAAACUUCUGUCCCAGAGAAUUCCCCGACGCCGGAGCCUCAGCGUCAUCCACCGCACUUCCCUGCUUCCUCGCCGACUAGUGAUGAUUCUUAUUUUCCAACGGAACACAACCCUCAUCAAACGCUGAAUCAAAACCCAAGUUCUCAACCGCCUCAAAAUCCAGUGACUCUGGAUGAUUUGCUUGCAAUUCCUAGACGUGAGAACUAUCUUCCAGUCUUAUCACCGGUUCCAAAAGACGAGUACUACUUGGUUUGAUCGUGAUGGUGGGAAACUGGCUCGAAAGAUAUGAAAGCUCUUAAAAUCCAAAUUUAACUCUCCUUAUUACUGCUGGUCAGAAACUCCCCUUAAAUUUGAACGUCAAUAUUUUGAAGACUUCGCGCAAGGACAUCAUUUGGAUAGCUCGAUCACUACACUUGUACGAGAUGAGGUUGAUAUCAUCUGUUUAAAUCGGAUGAAAGGAAUGGUGUGCCAAGAAAAAGAAGAAAGGCAUACGACCACUUUGGAUUGGAGAUACAUUAUGGAAAAAUAUGUGUUCCUACUGGGCCACUGAUGCAGCCAAUAAAAAGAAUAAAACUACAUCAAAAUGUCGGAACUCUGACCGUAGUGGACUUGGACCUUUCAAGCACUUUGCAGGAAAAAUGUCUUUCUUAUGGGUUCAACAAAAUAUGGAUGAAGAAUUGGGAAGACCUGUGAGUAUUGGAGAAGUGUUUAUAAAGACACAUACAAAAGCUGACGGUACAUUUAGUGAUUUAAAAGCUCAGCAAAUAGCCCAAGCUUAUGAAAAAAACUAGACAAUAAGUUGUCCCAGGCAGAACAACGCUUUUGUGAGAAUGAUCGUGAGAGUUCUUAUAUUCCCGAGCUUGCCCAAAUGAAAUGAACUAGAUAUUUCUUGGGACUACUACUUUAGAUAUGAGAGGAUGUGAGUGUGGAUUUGGUAGCCUUCUUCAACUUUAUGGAAACAAAAAGAGAAAAGGAGGUCCAUGAAGUUCAACUUCAAAAUUCUCAACGUCUAAUUGAAGAGCAAGCAACUGCUAAUGCUCGAUGUGAUGCUGAAACCGCACCAGCUAAUGCUAUAUGUGAUGCUGAAACCACAGCUAGAGCUGCUGAGCAACAAAUCCAAAUAAAUAUUUUGAAGAUAGUGGUCACCUAUAUGCAAGGUAAAGAACCAACAUUCUCAGAUUUUAUGACCGCAUCACCUCUAUCCGCAGCAAUUACUUAAAUGCCAUAAGUAGUUCAUAACUUAUAGUUGUUUUUUCUAUAAAAGGAAAAUCUAAAUAUUUUGUAUUUUGUAUUGUAAGCUUUAAGGAAUUCAAUAGAUGUUCCAAAAUUAAUAUCUGACUUGGAUUUUA